rnacentral:rRNA from 1 species
CCUACGGGAGGCAGCAGUGAGGAAUAUUGGUCAAUGGGCGCGAGCCUGAACCAGCCAAGUCGCGUGAGGGAAGACGGUCCUAUGGAUUGUAAACCUCUUUUGUCGGGGAGCAAAAGACGCCACGCGUGGCGCUCCGAGAGUACCCGAAGAAAAAGCAUCGGCUAACUCCGUGCCAGCAGCCGCGGUAAUACGGAGGAUGCGAGCGUUAUCCGGAUUAAUUGGGUUUAAAGGGUGCGCAGGCGGAAGAUCAAGUCAGCGGUAAAAUUGAGAGGCUCAACCUCUUCGAGCCGUUGAAACUGGUUUUCUUGAGUGAGCGAGAAGUAUGCGGAAUGCGUGGUGUAGCGGUGAAAUGCAUAGAUAUCACGCAGAACUCCGAUUGCGAAGGCAGCAUACCGGCGCUCAACUGACGCUCAUGCACGAAAGUGUGGGUAUCGAACAGGAUUAGAUACCCUUGUAGUC